UGGGGAAUUUUGGACAAUGGGCGAAAGCCUGAUCCAGCAAUGCCGCGUGUGUGAAGAAGGCCUUCGGGUUGUAAAGCACUUUUGUCCGGAAAGAAAUCCUUGGCUCUAAUACAGUCGGGGGAUGACGGUACCGGAAGAAUAAGCACCGGCUAACUACGUGCCAGCAGCCGCGGUAAUACGUAGGGUGCAAGCGUUAAUCGGAAUUACUGGGCGUAAAGCGUGCGCAGGCGGUUUGCUAAGACCGAUGUGAAAUCCCCGGGCUAACCUGGGAACUGCAUUGGUGACUGGCAGGCUAGAGUAUGGCAGAGGGGGGUAGAAUUCCACGUGUAGCAGUGAAAUGCGUAGAGAUGUGGAGGAAUACCGAUGGCGAAGGCAGCCCCCUGGGCCAAUACUGACGCUCAUGCACGAAAGCGU
rnacentral:rRNA from 1 species